rnacentral:rRNA from 1 species
GAUGAACGCUGGCGGCGUGCCUAAUACAUGCAAGUCGAACGAGGUGCUUUUGUAGCAAUACGAGAGUAUCCUAGUGGCGAACGGGUGAGUAACGCGUGGAUGACCUGCCCCAAAGUGUGGGAUAACAGUCCGAAAGGAUUGCUAAUACCUCAUGUGGUUAUCGGUUUUAGAAAGCGAUAACUAAAGCAGCAAUGCGCUUUGGGAGGGAUCUGCGUCCCAUCAGCUAGUUGGUGAGGUAACGGCUCACCAAGGCGACGACGGGUAGGGGACCUGAGAGGGUGGCCCCCCACAAUGGAACUGAAACACGGUCCAUACACCUACGGGUGGCAGCAGUAGGGAAUAUUGCUCAAUGGGCGAAAGCCUGAAGCAGCAACGCCGCGUGUGCGAUGAA